rnacentral:rRNA from 1 species
AAAGGAAUUGACGGGGGCCCGCACAAGCAGUGGAGUAUGUGGUUUAAUUCGAAGCAACGCGAAGAACCUUACCAGGGCUUGACAUCCCUCGCACGAUGUAGAGAUACAUUUUUCCUACGGGACGAGGAGACAGGUGGUGCAUGGUUGUCGUCAGCUCGUGUCGUGAGAUGUUGGGUUAAGUCCCGCAACGAGCGCAACCCCUGUUGUUAGUUGCCAUCAAGUAAAGUUGGGCACUCUAACGAGACUGCCGGUGACAAAUCGGAGGAAGGUGGGGACGACGUCAAAUCAUCAUGCCCCUUAUGUCCUGGGCUACACACGUACUACAAUGGUCGCAACAACGGGAAGCGAAGGAGCAAUCUGGAGCAAAUCCCAAAAAAGCGAUCUCAGUUCGGAUUGUGGGCUGCAACUCGCCCACAUGAAGUAGGAAUUGCUAGUAAUGGCAGGUCAGCAUACUGCCGUGAAUACGUUCCCGGGCCUUGUACACACCGCCCGU